UGGAUCACCUCCUAACAGGGAGACAACAAAAUGUUAAAUAUUAAUUUUGUCACCUUAGGUCGAUCGGUAUCUCACAUUCUUAAAUCAUUUAAGAAUUUCAUUUCCUAAGUUUUUCUAGGUCACACCCAUUUCUUUCCCUGGGCCAUUAGCUCAGGUGGUUAGAGCGCACCCCUGAUAAGGGUGAGGUCCCUGGUUCAAGUCCAGGAUGGCCCAUAUCUCUAUGUUGGGGGUAUAGCUCAGUUGGUAGAGCGCCUGCUUUGCAAGCAGGAUGUCAGCGGUUCGAGUCCGCUUACCUCCACUGAUUACCACCUCUUCCAUAACCGGUAUACAGGAAAUCUUUUGAGAUGUGAUCAAAUUCUGGAAGAAUCUAGCUUCCUAAUGAAAUCAUUAAGAUGCUGGACUCAUUGAAUUAAUUUCAUUGUUUUCAGAGAACCUUGACAACUGCAUAGAUUAUUUUUAAAGACAAUAAGCAUCUUUUAUGAUGCAGAUUUAUUAUUUGUGCGAAUGCAUUAAUAACAAUUCUAUUGAGCUGAUGCUUCAAUAUAUUAUGAAGUUAUUGGUCAAGCUACAAAGGGCUCACGGAGGAUACCUAGGCACACAGAGGCGAUGAAGG
rnacentral:tRNA from 1 species